rnacentral:rRNA from 1 species
AUUGAACGCUGGCGGCAGGCCUAACACAUGCAAGUCGAGCGGAUGAAGCCAGCUUGCUCCUGGAUUCAGCGGCGCACGGGUGUGUAAUGCCUAGGAAUCUCCCUGGUAUUGGUUGAUAACGUCCUCAAACGGGCGCUACUACCGCCUACGUCCUGCGGCAGCUACUUGGGGAUCUUCGGACCUCACGCUCUCAUAUGAGCCUAGGUCGGAUUAGCUAGUUGGUUGGGUAAAGACCUACCUAGCCGACGAUUCGUAGCUGGUCUGAGAGAAUGAUAAGUCACACUAGAGCGGAAACACGGUCCAGAGUACUAAGGGAGGCAGCAGUGGGGAAUAGUAGACAGUAGGCGAAAGCAUGAUACAGUCAGGCGGCGUGUGUGAAGAAGGUCUUGGGAUUGUAAAGCACGUUAAGUGGGGAGGAAGGGCAGUAAGUUAAUACCUAGCUGGUGUGACGUUACCAAGAGAAUAAGCACCGGCUAACUACGUG